UACAUCUGGAAGACGGCCUUGUGAAGAUGAAUGCAGUUCAAAAAGUGAAGAAUGCAAUAAAAGCGAGGAACGUGAAUGUGAUGAAAACGGUAAGCAACACUGGUCUGUAAGUGUAGUAGUUAUUACUCCAGAUUACAGAAUCAAAUGCCAUCUUCACAUUAUUUUUUUCUGGAAAUCAAAUUAAAUGACUGCCAACAUUAGAUAAAAGAAGUCAACACAGAUUGUAAGGGCCUUGCUGAUGUUGCUGCUUUUAUAACGAUCCCAUCUUACAGCAACUCAGUCAAUCUAUCAUAAUUCUUUUCUGGGCAAGAUUUGUCCAGAAUGGGAUUUGCCUUAAGGUCACUUGCUGAUAAAUCCAGGGCCAGUCUGCAGUAGUGUGUGAUGAUGAUGGUGAUUUUUUUUGAUUGUGUCAGAAGUGACUUGAGAUCAUACUGUAAGUCGCUUCUGGUGUGAGAGAAUUUGCCAUCUGCAGAGAU
rnacentral:lncRNA from 1 species